AGUCGUACGGUAACAGCCAAGCAGCUUGCUUCUUUGCUGACGAGUGGCGGACGGGUGAGUAAUGUCUGGGAAACUGCCUGAUGGAGGGGGAUAACUACUGGAAACGGUAGCUAAUACCGCAUAACGUCGCAAGACCAAAGAGGGGGACCUUCGGGCCUCUUGCCAUCGGAUGUGCCCAGAUGGGAUUAGCUAGUAGGUGGGGUAACGGCUCACCUAGGCGACGAUCCCUAGCUGGUCUGAGAGGAUGACCAGCCACACUGGAACUGAGACACGGUCCAGACUCCUACGGGAGGCAGCAGUGGGGAAUAUUGCACAAUGGGCGCAAGCCUGAUGCAGCCAUGCCGCGUGUAUGAAGAAGGCCUUCGGGUUGUAAAGUACUUUCAGCGGGGAGGAAGGGAGUAAAGUUAAUACCUUUGCUCAUUGACGUUACCCGCAGAAGAAGCACCGGCUAACUCCGUGCCAGCAGCCGCGGUAAUACGGAGGGUGCAAGCGUUAAUCGGAAUUACUGGGCGUAAAGCGCACGCAGGCGGUUUGUUAAGUCAGAUGUGAAAUCCCCGGGCUCAACCUGGGAACUGCAUCUGAUACUGGCAAGCUUGAGUCUCGUAGAGGGGGGUAGAAUUCCAGGUGUAGCGGUGAAAUGCGUAGAGAUCUGGAGGAAUACCGGUGGCGAAGGCGGCCCCCUGGACGAAGACUGACGCUCAGGUGCGAAAGCGUGGGGAGCAAACAGGGAUUAGAUACCCUGGUAGUCCACGCCGUAAACGAUGUCGACUUGGAGGUUGUGCCCUUGAGGCGUGGCUUCCGGAGCUAACGCGUUAAGUCGACCGCCUGGGGAGUACGGCCGCAAGGUUAAAACUCAAAUGAAUUGACGGGGGCCCGCACAAGCGGUGGAGCAUGUGGUUUAAUUCGAUGCAACGCGAAGAACCUUACCUGGUCUUGACAUCCACGGAAGUUUUCAGAGAUGAGAAUGUGCCUUCGGGAACCGUGAGACAGGUGCUGCAUGGCUGUCGUCAGCUCGUGUUGUGAAAUGUUGGGUUAAGUCCCGCAACGAGCGCAACCCUUAUCCUUUGUUGCCAGCGGUCCGGCCGGGAACUCAAAGGAGACUGCCAGUGAUAAACUGGAGGAAGGUGGGGAUGACGUCAAGUCAUCAUGGCCCUUACGACCAGGGCUACACACGUGCUACAAUGGCGCAUACAAAGAGAAGCGACCUCGCGAGAGCAAGCGGACCUCAUAAAGUGCGUCGUAGUCCGGAUUGGAGUCUGCAACUCGACUCCAUGAAGUCGGAAUCGCUAGUAAUCGUGGAUCAGAAUGCCACGGUGAAUACGUUCCCGGGCCUUGUACACACCGCCCGUCACACCAUGGGAGUGGGUUGCAAAAGAAGUAGGUAGC
rnacentral:rRNA from 1 species